GCAACAGAUCCGGAGCCUUACUAUUAUGCAGAUCAAACCACAGACACCCCUCCUCCGAAUCAACGCGAGGACAGAGUCGCUGUGUACGUGGUGGUGGGCAUCGCUGCUGUAGCCUUCACUGGUUUCCUUGUAAUGUUGAUUAUUCUCAAGUUUGGAGGAAACUCCAAGUUUGGCAUCAAAGGUAAGACUUCUUGCUCUAAUCUUGAGUUGUGGUCUGUGGGAGAAUGAACCGGUGAUUUUAGUUUGACGUGGAUGGCUUCAUGGAUACGUGAAAACAUUAAAGCCUGUUAUUAAUUAGAGGGAGAGAAACUAUGUUAUGUGGUCAAAGAUAUUUCACUGUAUGAAUUAACCAAAGAACAACAACAGUAUAUGUUGUUGUUCUUUGGUUUACAUUUCUUCAGUUUACCCAACCUUUUGCUCUGUCACAGCUGAGUAAGACUCCAGAUUCCUUGUAACCUUAUAAUAUGUGGAUGUAUCGAAUAUUAAUAUGCCAACAUCAAAAGCAUAUGGGCCAAACAGUGUUCGUCACUGACCACUAAAGCCUUGAUUUGUGGUUCCACUUUUGAGGAGGCAAAAUAUACAGAAAUCUAAGUUAAAGGUAGGAUGAUGGAAAAUUAAAGCAAUCAGAACCUGAAAGUCUUUGAUCAUGAUCCUAAUUUAAUAUGCAGGCCCUCAUGUAUCCACGAAUUCACCCGGUUCGGAUGGAAGCGGCUGCUGUUGUGAUUAAGUUUCUCUGGUUCUCAGUUCUGCUGGUACAUAACAUGCAUGUGGACUAAAAUGAACUGUAGUCUUUGUCAUGUUGAUGUGAAAUUGCUUUGGUACUGUAGCCACUGUUGAAGCCUCCACACACACAUGCUUGCACACACGCCGUCUAUCUUUUAUGCCACAUAGUUUUCCUCUUAAGUAUGUUUGAAACAACUGCUUCUGCAUUGGCUACAAGUGUCACUAAUCUGUUUCCCUCAUCUGGUAUUUACUAUUCUGACUUACUACAGCAGAUUUGUCUUUUCUCAUUUUUAUGCUUGGCUCAGAUUUUGUCCUCCUUCUUGUAAACUAACAAUAAUCACUGAACCACGGUCCUUCCAUUUUUCACAUCGUACAUACAAAAAUGGUCAUGCUUCAUUUUAGUGCUCACAUAUUCCGUGUGUAGCUAUAGAACGAUAGGUGAACACAUUAAUCUUUAAUUUUGAAAUGAGCCCUUUCAGUCUUUCAUUCAGUUUGGUUGAGAAAAUAAAUACGCCAAAUUUGCAUUCAGCGCAGACGGUCCAUGAACUCCUCGUCUUGAGGAAGUCGUUUUUUGCUUUUUAAAGAUUUUUGUUUUUAGGAAUAAAACGUUUCUUGGCACCGCUUGAGCCAUCACCGUUUGAUGCAGCGUAGGUUUAUAUUUCACAUUCAAAUUAGCGAACCAAAAAGUGAAUGCAAAUGUAGUCACAGAGUUACUCGAUGUGCGUUGCCAAGUGUGUGCGCCUUUAUGUGUGUGACUCUCAGUUACACUGUAGAAGUGCAGUAUUUUGACAGUGAUUGAUUUAUGGGUCCCCGGAGAAGGAAGGAUGUGGGACAGAAGGAGCAAAAGGAUACACAUUGUGUUUGUGUGUAUGUGAUUUCUUAGAUGUCUUAGUAUCAUAUAUACAGUAUAUAUUUGUGUGUGUGUGAACAUCUAAGCAUUUUUGCAUCCUGUGCAGGAGGUUAGGUCACAUUACAGUUUUGCCCUCUGAUUGCUUCCCUUGACUCUUCAUCUUCCUUCCUUUCAACCCUUCCACCUCCCUCUUUCUGUUCACAUUCCCCACACAUGUAGAAAUACAGAUGCAUGUGCCCGGCAGCAAGUUUACGCUGCAGUAAGUUUAUGGAGAGAGAAAUUUGGAGAGGCCUGCAUCAGUAUGAACAACAGAUCUAGACAGGGGGUUCAACAGCUGCGAGUAAUCCACAGCAGCACUGAGCCCACUGAAAUUAAUCUCAACAAGAGAAACACAACUGCUGAUGGCAGCUCCUCACCAGUCCUAAUCUAAAACAAAAACUAUUUUGUCAUUGCAAAAUAACUAAAUCACCCCCACAUGAUGAUGGCGAACUUGUGAUCAGAAAGUGUAAAGAGUGCGUGUCAGGCCUUGUACCAUAUUGAGCAGGUGUGCAGUGAAAAAUCGUCACUCGCCUCACUGAGCUGAGGAUGAUUUGCUGACCGCCUCUUUUUGAUAGCUGAGUAAAAAGCUGUGGCUGGUUUACAUUAUUUAUGCCGACUGCAUUAUUCUGCUCCUCUCUCAUCAAUAACACAUGGACAACGUUUGGUACUGGUUUCCUUGCAUGAUCUCUUCGCUGCUUCUUGACACUAGAAGGAUGAUUUCAUUUAGUGUGUAUAGUAGUUUGUUUUCUCGUGUUGGCACAAAGGAGCAGGUAAUAUUUAAGUCUGCAGUAGGUUCACAUGUGUGCAUGCAUCAGCAGCGGUGACAUGUUGCAGUGUUUACUGUUGUAAUCUGAUCGAGCCCGUCUUCAUGUUGGGGAUAAUUUAUUAUCCAAUGGUAAUUUUCUUGUUUUAGCUUUAGACACUCAUGUGGAGCCUGCUGCUGUAUGAAAGCUAUAUGUCAUAAUC